rnacentral:ncRNA from 1 species
GAGAGACAUAAGUUCAUUUAUUUUAUUUUUUGCUCUCAUUUAGAAAUUGUCCCUAUCUACUAUCUAGCGAAACCACAGCCAAGGGAACGGGCUUGGAAAAAUCAGCGGGGAAAGAAGACCCUGUUGAGCUUGACUCUAGUCUGACUCUGUGAAGAGACAUGAGAGGUGUAGCAUAAGUGGGAGGCCGUGAACCCUCGCGGUUGUGUCGUGCCGGCAGUGAAAUACCACUACUUUCAUCGUUUCUUUACUUACUCGGUGAAGCGGAAAGCGGACCAUGAGUGUCCACGCUUCUAGCACUAAGUGCAAGGCCCUUCGUUGGCCCGCACGAUCUGUUCCGAGGACAGUGUCAGGCGGGGAGUUUGACUGGGGCGGUACAUCUGUCAAAUGGUAACGCAGGUGUCCUAAGGCGAGCUCAGCGAGGACAGAAACCUCGCGUAGAGCAAAAGGGCAAAUGCUUGCUUGAUCUUGAUUUUCAGUACGAUUACAGACCGCGAAAGCGGGGCCCCUCGAUCCUUUUGACUUUAAGAGUUUUAAGCAAG